GAUGAACGCUGGCGGCGUGCCUAAUACAUGCAAGUCGAGCGAACGGACGAGAAGCUUGCUUCUCUGAUGUUAGCGGCGGACGGGUGAGUAACACGUGGAUAACCUACCUAUAAGACUGGGAUAACUUCGGGAAACCGGAGCUAAUACCGGAUAAUAUUUUGAACCGCAUGGUUCAAAAGUGAAAGACGGUCUUGCUGUCACUUAUAGAUGGAUCCGCGCUGCAUUAGCUAGUUGGUAAGGUAACGGCUUACCAAGGCAACGAUGCAUAGCCGACCUGAGAGGGUGAUCGGCCACAACGGAACUGAGACACGGGCCCGACUCCUACGGGAGGCAGCAGGUGGGAAUCUUUCGGCAUGGGCGAAAGCCUGACGGAGCAACGCCGCGUGAGUGAUGAAGGUCUUCGGAUCGUAAAACUCUGUUAUUAGGGAAGAACAUAUGUGUAAGUAACUGUGCACAUCUUGACGGUACCUAAUCAGAAAGCCACGGCUAACUACGUG
rnacentral:rRNA from 1 species